rnacentral:rRNA from 1 species
UACGGGGGGAGCAAGCGUUGUUCGGAUUUACUGGGCGUAAAGGGCGCGUAGGCGGCCAGCACAAGUCAGUUGUGAAAUCUCCGAGCUUAACUCGGAAAGGUCAACUGAUACUGUGCGGCUAGAGUGCAGAAGGGGCAACUGGAAUUCUCGGUGUAGCGGUGAAAUGCGUUGAUAUCAUCAGGAACACCGGUGGCGAAGGCGGCUUUCUGGGUCUUACCUGACGCUGAGGAACGAAAGCCAGGGGAGCGAACGGG